rnacentral:misc_RNA from 1 species
GUGAAUCAUCGAAUCUUUGAACGCACAUUGCGCCCCUUGGUAUUCCAUGGGGCAUGCCUGUUCGAGCGUCAUCUACACCCUCAAGCUCUGCUUGGUGUUGGGCGUCUGUCCCGCCUCUGCGCGCGGACUCGCCCCAAAUUCAUUGGCAGCGGUCCUUGCCUCCUCUCGCGCAGCACAUUGCGCUUCUCGAGGUGCGCGGCCCGCGUCCACGAAGCAACAUUACCGUCUUUGACCUCGGAUCAGGUAGGGAUACCCGCUGAACUUAAGCAUAUCAAUAAGCGGAGGA